rnacentral:rRNA from 1 species
UACAGGGGGGGCAAGCGUUGUUCGGAAUUACUGGGCGUAAAGGGUUCGUAGGUGGCCAACUAAGUCAGACGUGAAAUCCCUCAGCUUAACUGGGGAACUGCGUCUGAAACUGGUUGGCUUGAGUGCAGGAGAGGAAUGCGGAAUUCCAGGUGUAGCGGUGAAAUGCGUAGAUAUCUGGAGGAACACCGGUGGCGAAGGCGGCAUUCUGGACUGUAACUGACGCUGAGGCACGAAAGUGUGGGGAUCAAACAGG